CGCCGCGGGAGCCGCGUGCCGGGGCGUCUGUCCGCCCGGCGCCCGGUCCACCUCGGCUCCGCGAAGCAGCAGAUGGCGCAAGCAGUCCAGUUCCACCCCCUGGUCCCUGGUCGGCCAAUGGAUUUUCAUAUCCAGUUGCCACAGCGUGUCAUUCCAGGCCACGAUGAAGAGCUACCUAGAAUGCUGCUGCUAGAGAUGAGGGGUGAAGCUGCCUGGGCAUGGCUGCAAGAAAUGCAAGCUCAGGUUUGAGCCUAUCCUGGGGUGCUAAGAGUGGUGGAGCAGAACUGCUUCUCUGCUCUUGUUGUCAGUCAGAAACGCCGUUCAGAGGCACAGAAGAUCAUUGCUUUGUCCCAGCUGGGAAUGUCUGGUGGGACAUUUUGUGGCUAAGGCACUGCUGGUCAAGAGGACCUGGAAGCUGGACCAGACUCGGAAUCUGAGGAGCUGGCAGGAGGUUUUUGAGCCUGCAGAACCUGAGGACAGGUUCCUUGUGAAUCCAACUCCAUCACCUGCUGGCUGGACCUUUGCCCCACCUGCUUAGUCCAGGCUGUCAGGGAAGAGACAAAGAAGUAGGCCUGGCAAUAGUCAACAUCUCAUUGGGGGAGGGACCGUUCCUGUCUGGAUUGAGAAAGUUCCUGGUUUGCCCCCUCCCCUUCUGCAAAGCCUGCUUUCGACCUAGCAGCUCAGACAACCCCUGUUCCAUAUCUAACUUUCCCUUUUGGGGAGAAGUUGAUGGUGCAGCAACUGCUAAGGACUCUGGAAGAUGUGAAUUAUCAGGACUCUUGGCAUCGAGGAUCCAGGCUGGGACACGGGACAGUGGGUCAUUCUUAUGGAUAGCCAAUGGUCCUGACUCUUCACGUGGAUGACCAGGUUGACCACAGACUGCUCUGAGAAAUGCCGCUGCACCUCAGCCAGGUUCCCCGUGUACAGGG